ACGGGAGGCAGCAGUGAGGAAUAUUGGUCAAUGGACGGAAGUCUGAACCAGCCAAGUCGCGUGCGGGAUGAAGGCCCUACGGGUCGUAAACCGCUUUUGUACGGGGAUAAAGUCACCCACGUGUGGGUGUUUGUAGGUACCGUAAGAAUAAGGAUCGGCUAACUCCGUGCCAGCAGCCGCGGUAAUACGGAGGAUCCGAGCGUUAUCCGGAUUUAUUGGGUUUAAAGGGAGCGUAGGCGGACGUUUAAGUCAGCUGUGAAAGUCUGCGGCUCAACCGUAGAAUUGCAGUUGAAACUGGAUGUCUUGAGUGCACGCAGGGAUGCCGGAAUUCGUUGUGUAGCGGUGAAAUGCUUAGAUAUGACGAAGAACUCCGAUCGCGAAGGCAAGUGUCCGGAGUGCAACUGACGCUGAGGCUCGAAAGUGUGGGUAUCAAACAGGAUUAGAUACCCUGGUA
rnacentral:rRNA from 1 species